GUUAUUCAUCUGCAAGCUCGUUGUGUGAAAAAAUUCAUCUAGGAGGUUCUCUUUUGUUGCUGUUACAUUUAUUCAGGUAAUCUCUACAGGCUGCCACAAUUACUGGGCUAGAUGGGGUCUUGACCUAACCCCUUUGGCUAUUUUCAUACUUCUUCUAUUGACGAUAGAAGGAAAGGCUUCAGCUGUCUUGGGACUUAAGAGUCGCUUCUGGAGUAGGAAGGCAACAGAAAUCACUCCUGUUUUUCACUGACAAUGGUUGAAGCAUAGUGGGUUUAUUUUCCUUAUCUUCAUGCACAAUUUAACUUGAAACAACAUGUAACAAUUGACUAUAACAAACGAAUAGGAGGAAUGAUGAGAAAUUGAAGAACAGGGGGAACUGUGAUAAAAUCAUUACAAGAUUCCAGGUGACUUGUAUCACUGGUUUUGUGAAGAGAAUGAAGUACUAAAAGCAAAGGAGUAUGAAAUAAAACAUUCCAGCAUAUGUGAAAGGACUAUGGAAAUACUGCAAACAGGAACACCUUGAAUAAGCCAAUUCUCUCACAAAUUGCCAGACUGAAUUACUCUGAGUUUUUUUUUAAAAAAAAUGAAACAUAAGGUUUAUAGAGUGUAGUCAUGUUUCUGUGCUUCAUCUGUGUGUGUGUGUUUAAAUGCAUAAAGUUCCCCAAAAUUGUAGGGAUAGAAACAUAUGUUUGGACUACCUUUACUUUCUAAUACCGAAAUGAGACUCUUCUUUCCCUACAGCUUCGAAGAGAGAAUAAUUGCUUUGAAAUCUUGACAUUUAAGUUAAGGGAUCUUGCUCACAACUUCACUCAUUAGAGAACUGCAUCAAACUGUCAUGUUAGGUUCUUUUUUGUUGUUCAGAUGCUGUGUAGACCAUGAGUUGAUUCUUGACAUGUGUUGUCCAUUUGGAUUGAAGAUAAGUGGAAGAACAUUGAUAAAUGGAACACUAAAGUGUGUUCCUUAACCAUCAAGUGAAAUGAGGUUGUCAUAUGUAACCAGAGGUGGUAGAAAAAAUAUGUAUGCAGUUCUAUAUCUAUACACUUAUAUGUAAAUAUAUACAAGAAACCUAGAGUGAAUCUUACAGGUCUUGGGAACAAGGGGAAACAGCAGAAGCUUUAUUGCUGAGUUUGUUCGCUCUUGCAGUUCAGCUUUGUUAAGCAUUGUGAAUACAUACAGAACGCUAAUGAGAGGAUAGCUGUUCGCAUCAGAGGGUUGCAUUU
rnacentral:lncRNA from 7 species